AUUUUUUUACAGUUUUUCUCAGUCGCUUUGGUACAUUUCUCAGAUCAGAAUUGAAAUUCUCAAAAUUACCUGUUCAAGCUUCACAUCAUUGUGUCACUUGUGCACAUCAAAAAAGCAGUUUCUCAUUUCUUUGAACAAGUUGCAAAUGCUUUGGUACAUCCAUGCAAAUGAUUAUGUACAAUUCUCUGCUGUAUCCUACAUUAUCAAUUGCUUAUGUCAUUUUGAUCCAAAUGUAUUAUAAUAUGGUCUCUGUUGAAUAGUCUCACCCACCACAACAUUUAGGCAUUCGUUCAUAGCAUAAGUCUUUACAUGCAAAAUGGUUGAACAAGUUGUCAUAAUAUGUCAAGCAUAUUUCUAUACAUUUCCAUUAGACCUUUUUUCUAAAUCUGUCCUGAAUUAGUAAAUUGCUCCCAGGUGAAUCUUGAAUUUCUCUAAAGAAGUUGCAUCUCUUGAACCAUCAACUGGCAAGUAUAUAUAUAGCCGGAGCACAACACAAUGUUACAAUGUCUGACAAUGGAAGGACAAGAAAUUGAAUGGGGUCAACAGCCAGAGAGAAGAAGAAGAGGAAGAGGAGUUAGGCUGCGUGGUGGAGGAGUUGGGAGGCAAAACAGAGGAAGAGGCAGAAGAGGCCGAGGAAAUAUAUGCGUUCCUGAUGAGAUAAGAGCCACACUUGUAGACCACGUUCUCAAUCAUGGGCUUACAAUGGCCGAGGCUGGUCAAAGGGUGCAGCCAAAUGUUGGGAGAACAACUGUGUCCUCAAUCAUUUAGACUUUUCGUCGACAGAACAGGACUGCAAGACAACUUCACAGGGGUGGCAGAGGGCCUCUUUUCACACCUGAACAAGAAGAGGCUAUUUGCACCAUGGUUGUAGAAUACAAUGCCAUAAGACUAAGGGAGAUAAAGAGUGCCAUUAUAGAGGACAACAACAUCACAUGAAAACAUCCAAACAGUCAGCAUCUCAACCAUUGACAGGGUGCUGAAAAGACACCAAAUGAAUAUGAAGCAGCUGUACACUGUUCCAUUUGAAAGAAAUGGUGUAAGAGUGAAGGAGCUGCACUACCAGUAUGUACAGCGUAUAAUGGAACAGCUUCGUCUACAUGGAUGAGGCUGGCUUCAACCUAACGAAAUGCAGAAGGGGUGGUCGAAAUAUCAUCGGCCACAGAGCUACAGUUGAUGUGCCAGGCCAACAGGGCGGGAACAUAACCAUGGGUGCUGCUAUCUCUGAGAAUGGUGUGCUAACGCAUAUUCCCAUUAUUGGGCCAUACAAUACAGAGCGUCUUGUCACCUUUUUAGACACUCUCUAAAGGGAUCUCAUCCCUGAACAAGAGAGUGGUCAGAUUGGAGAUGACCUGCCAAAGUACGUGAUAGUUUGGGACAAUGUCAGUUUCCAUUGCUCCAACAUCAUUAGGCAAUGGUUUGCGGCCCACAACAGGAUGCUGAUGGAGUUCCUCUCCCCCUACUCCCCAUUCCUUAACCCCAUCGAGGAAUUUUUCUCAGCAUGGAGAUGGAAAGUAUAUGAUCGCCAGCCACAUACACACAUGACCCUUCUGGCUGCCAUGGAUGCAGCGUGUGAUGACAUCACAGCAGAUGCCUGCAGAGGCUGGAUAAGACACUCUAAAAGAUGCCUUCCAUGCUGCAAGAUAUUCGUUGUGAUGUGGAUGAGAAUUUGUGGCCCAACAGACAGGAACGUCAGGAGGUGUAGGAAGACUGCACUGUAAUUCCUACAGCACUGCAUGUACAGUUUUCCCUAAGGAGAUUGUCCUAUGUUCACAUUUCUACUUUUGUUUUUUUGUUUUUUUUCUUUGUGCUAUGCGUGCUGUCUUUUCCUUUCUGUAUUGCAAUGACAUGAUCUGUCAACAAAUUACAGUACAAACAGUAAAAGCAUAAAUGUGAAUCUUGUCCAGUCUCUUGCAAUCAAACUCUCACAUACACUAAGGUGUAACCUACAAUUUACAAUAAUUGUCAUCAAAACUUUAGCCAUAGUUUACUUCAGAAAAUCCCUCCAGAGUACACUGUUAUAUUGACAACAUGACAAAGCAACUUGAAUGUCUUAUCCGUACACAAUGACAAAAGGACUUGUCAUUCUGAUGGCACUGACAUGUUCAUUGCUGACAUGUUCAUUACUUUUGAGAGAUGAACUAAGGAUUUUGAGCGAGAGACUGGCUUUUGCAGGUAAUCCAUGGUGUUUUGCUAUUUGUACGAAUUGUUUUGAGAAUUGCACUUACUGUUUUGCAAAUGUCAAGGAUGAUUCAAGAAAUGUACCAAAAUGAGUGAGAAAAACUGUAAUAUUCAAUACAAAAUUAUUUAUUUUCUUUUUUAUACACUUUCUUAACUCAGUUUGAGACCAGAAAAAAAGGUAAUUUUCCUUAAGGGGUUCUUCUAGACCCAAUGUCCCCUAUAAAUAUUCCACGUAGUCUUUCAAUUAAUGAAGUCAUACCAAAAUAAUUGUGUUUAAAAUAUUUUAGAGUAUACAAUAGGACAUCAACUAUACCAAAGUAUUUCAUGUCAGCUACCCUACCCAUGAUCAAAAGUUCAAAGUACAUUUACAUUUACAUUUAUGCAUUUGGCAGACGCUUUUAUCCAAAGCGACUUACAGAGCCCUUAUUACAGGGACAAUCCCUUGGAGCAACUUGGAGUUGAGUGCCUUGCUCAAGGACACAAUGGUGGUGGCUGUGGGGAUCGAACCAGUAAUCUUCUGAUUAACAGUCAUGUGCUUUUAGCCCACUACGCCACCACCAAAGUAGGUUAUCAAGAUGAAUUCAUUUUAACUUUACAAAGGAGAAUGUCACUUCUAUGGCACAGUGUUUGUUUAUUUUGUCUUGCCUUGAGGGAAUUUUUAUCUGGAACACAACCAAACACCUUUUGUGUCUUCUCAGGUGACCUAAAUAGUUAAAUAAUGUAUUUUUGGUGGAUUAGGGUGAACCCCUCAGGUGAACUGUUCAAUGAAGUUAGUGACACUGCUAAUGGCACUGAUUUUAAAGGAUACAACCUACAAACGCUAGAAAUAUAAGUUUUGAGAGCAGCUUUAAAUAAGAUUACCUUUCCAUCUUUCCCCAUUUCUCUCUAACACACUCUCUCUGUGUGUCAAUAUAGCAUGAGGUCAUUGGCAGUCACAUGGGUCCUUUUGUCAACCAGUCCUGUCGCAGCAGUCACAAUCGAUAAAGCAGUUUGUCCAUUGUUUGACUCAUUUUGUGAUAAUCUCAGCCUAUUCUGAUAUAUCCAGUUAAAUAUCUUUGAUACACCUCUAUUGUCAUUCCUGUGAUGAUAAAGCAUAAGGACCCUGUUGGUUUAUUCAUGUCUGGCUGUACAAGAAGGAUAAAUCUGAACAAAGCAUGAUAAGUGCUGUUGUGUGUUGCUGGUC